UGUAAACAACCUUUAUACUUAUACUUACCUGUCUCUUCUAGUUGUGGUGGGCACAACUGCUUUGGUACUCUAGCAUAGCCUCCAACCCAUUCAUCCUCCUGCCACUGGUGCCCAUCUAUCAACAGUGCUUCAAUGUAAUCAACCCUUGGAUCAUCAACUUCAUCAUCCCAUGAAAGAGAUGGAGGACAAACAUUAUCAGCUGGUUUCACAAUAUAGUUGACCUCAACCUACACAAAUAAGUAUGUUAACCAUAGAUAAUGUACAUUUACUUAUUAUGUACGUACAUACACAAUUUAACACACCUCAUCAGCAGCCUCACACUCCAAAAUGCGAGAUGUCCGGAUUGCUCGCCGAGAGGCAAGACGAUGGAUAGACCUCUCAGCAAAUGUCCUGUUAGGUACAUCAUCAGGUCCUAGCUUAGCAAUUGAUGGGAUUGUUUCGAAAGCUAAAAGCUGGAGAGCUAAUGGGAAGCCAUGGAGUGCAUAAGACCCUACAAGUAAACCCCUUAUUAGUUGUUGAGCAUCGUAAGGAGUUUGGAAAUUUGCUAUCCUCCCCAAAGUACGGGUAAAGGACACCCUUCCCCAUGGGUAUUUGCAGAAGAACUCCAGGUUCUUAGUCAUCUCGACAGUCUUCGAAGUAGGCCUGUUGGGGUUACUGUGGGCCGCUACCACACCGUCAACCAAAAUAAUAAGAGAUAGUGCCAGUUGCUUCCACCCCUCCAUGCUUUCCUCCUCCUGCAGCCAGCUCACCAAAUCAGCAAUUGUUGGAACCGUGUCCCCAAACCUCUCAUCAAACAGAGUCUUCCAAACACUCUCACACUCAGGUUUCACACUGAUAACAUCAUCAACGUCUUUCUUCUUGGGAUACUUCCCACAUUCCAGCCCACUUAGGAUACUAAAUUCUCUUAAUCCAAAUCUGAUUGGAUGACCGCCGAAUACAAUCCACAUCUCAUUCACCUUCUUUGUCACUAACUGACGGCAUAUUAGUCCAAGGACAAGCUUAGCAUUGAAAGAUGCCUUGUUUUUGGGUAUUUUAAAAAGUUCCCCAAAUGGAGAAUCGAGAAGAAACUGCAUCUCUGGUUUCCCCUUUAGUACAUUUGCUAUGUCAGAAAUGUACUCCGGUUUAGAGUACGCGUUCAUCUUUGUCUCGGAAGGGUACCGGUCUAGAGCAAAGAGUCUUGGUGGUAACUCUUCAACUGUAAGAUCUUCAGUCGGAGCAACACUUGGACUACCUGCAAUUAAAAGUCAUAUACUGUUAAGCAAACCGAAGUAGUGUACGUACACAGACAUUUUCCAGAUUAUAACUCAAAAUCAUAUUUUUGGCGGAAACAGAGAUUUCCAAUUCUACUUCUCAAUUUUUCAUCCUAAAGAUAUGCUAAAUUCCGACAAAUUCUAACCCUUUAAUCAAACAAGCUUUACAAUUCUGAUACACCCAAAGACAACAAACGGUAAAUUAGAGAUUCUAACCCAGUUCCUCCGUUGCCUUUGUCGAAGAGCGUUUUCUCCGCGGGGAAACUCUUAAUACCCGCUUCUCCUUCCCUGGACCAUGCUGCUUCCUCGGGACUUCGUCGUUAGCUUUAUUCCCAGCCAUAGCUAAAGAUGCUAUCUCGCUGGAGGUUCAAAUUUUGCCGGAAUAAACAGUAACUUUCUCUUGGCUUCGCCGGGAAAAACAGUAACUUUCACUUCCCCGGAUGUGGGAGUUCAGUGGCUCAAUUCAACUACCCAACAAUUUGAAGUUAUGUCGAAUUUUGAAGCAAUGGAUACUGAAUUUCGUUUCGCUUUCUGAUUCUCUCGCAAAUCUCUCCGUUACUCUCUUCUCUUUUUCGUUUUCUCGGGUUUCUUCGUUUCAGUUUUUUUUUUUU
rnacentral:sRNA from 1 species